rnacentral:lncRNA from 1 species
CGGUUACGCGAAAGAUUCGAAUUCCGGUACGGUUAAAUUCACAAAUUACGGUCAGUCUUACAAUCCCGGUUCGGAAUCGUUCACCAGUUAUGGGAAAGGAAGCGAAGGACAGAAGAUCAGUUUCAAAACGUACACACCGAACUCCACCUUCAAGGACUACGCUAAAAACGGCGUCGCUUUCGCCAAGUAUAAUGUGUCAUCCAUCGGGGAUGGCAAAACCGUGAAUAAGUGGAUAGAGCCGGGUAAAUUCUUUAGAGAGUCAACGCUUAAAGAAGGCACAGUGAUUGCUAUGCCUGACAUUAAGGAUAAAAUGCCUAAAAGGUCGUUUUUGCCCCGGAGCAUCGUCUCUAAGCUACCGUUCUCGACCUCCAAGCUCGCCGAGGUUAAGAUGAUCUUCCACGCCGGAGAUAACUCGUCGAUGGAGAAGAUCAUCUCCGACGCGGUGACGGAGUGCGAGAGGCCACCGAGCGUGGGAGAGACUAAACGCUGCGUUGGAUCAGCGGAGGAUAUGAUCGAUUUCGCCACGUCGGUGCUUGGUCGUAGCGUGGUGCUAAGAACGACGGAGAAUGUGGCGGGGUCAAAGCAGAAGGUGGUGAUUGGAAAAGUCAACGGAAUCAACGGUGGGAAGUUGACAAAAGCUGUUUCGUGUCACCAGAGUUUGUACCCGUAUCUGUUGUAUUACUGCCACUCGGUUCCUAAGGUUCGGGUGUACGAAGCGGAUCUUCUUGAGUUGAAUAGUAAGACUAAGAUCAACCAUGGGAUUGCCAUCUGCCAUAUUGACACGUCAUCAUGGAGUCCGGGACAUGGAGCUUUCUUAGCUCUCGGGUCGAAACCAGGUCGGAUUGAGGUUUGUCAUUGGAUAUUUGAGAACGACAUGAACUGGGCUAUCGCCGAUUAGAACCGGUUCCAAAGUUUUAUCACCAAGAUUUGAAUAGUGGAAUUUUAGUCUUCGGUAACAGUAAAGCUUGUUACUGAUUUGUGUGUGAUUGUAAGAAUAAUAAUAAUCUUUGAAGAGCCGAUUCGUGGAAUGUUAGACCAUGUUUAUCCCUGCUUAAAACUGGGUUUCUUAAUGUAAGGGUCUCACCAAAAUCUUUAAAACUCAUCACAAAAGCAAGCAAAUAAGGAUCCAUCUUUCUCUGUUUCUUUGACUGUUAGCGUACAGCACAGACACGUGGCGAUCCACGAUUGGUUUGUCUUUUAAUUAAAUUUUUUUUUUCGGACAAAAAAAACAAAAUACAAAAAAAUUUACCUAUGAUUCCGUGCAUACGUUUAGCAUGCUCUUAGUUUUCAGUAACAGUAAAGGCUUGUUACUGAUUUGUGUGUGAUGGUAAGAAUAAUAAUAAUCUUUGAAGAGCCAAUUUCAAGAUUAUUGUAAUAAUCACAAUAAACAAUUAUCUUUAUUAUAUAUCAUUGUAGAGAAUGUUUGUUGACGCAAUUUAUGUUUAUGGCUGGUUGGAUUCGAUGACUGGAUAUAUAUUUUAUCUACAAAUUAAGGGAUCAUGGAUCGAUAUAGAUAUAUUAUUAUCAUGAAGCAUCCGAGCCUCGUACGGCGACUCAUCCAACGUGAUCGGCUCUGAUUUCAAGAACUACGGCGAGGAAGAAAACGCCGCCAAAGAUACCUUCACCAGCUACGCGAGCGGCGGCAACGUACCGCUUAACAACUUCAAAAACUACGGCGAGUCCGUUAACGCCGCCAACGAUUCCUUCACGAACUACGGAGGCGGCGGCGGUAAUGUACCGCAGAACAACUUCAAAAGCUACGGCGUCUCCGGUAACGGCGCCGUCGACACUUUCGCGAAUUACAGAGAUAAAGCCAACGUCGGCGACGACUCGUUCUCCGGUUACGCGAAAGAUUCGAAUUCCGGUACGGUUAAAUUCACAAAUUACGGUCAGUCUUACAAUCCCGGUUCGGAAUCGUUCACCAGUUAUGGGAAAGGAAGCGAAGGACAGAAGAUCAGUUUCAAAACGUACACACCGAACUCCACCUUCAAGGACUACGCUAAAAACGGCGUCGCUUUCGCCAAGUAUAAUGUGUCAUCCAUCGGGGAUGGCAAAACCGUGAAUAAGUGGAUAGAGCCGGGUAAAUUCUUUAGAGAGUCAACGCUUAAAGAAGGCACAGUGAUUGCUAUGCC